rnacentral:sRNA from 1 species
UUGAUGGAACUGGAGACUGAAGUCUUCUCUUUAUCUACAGAAUAGUUACAGCAAGAACUCAUCCUCAUAAAACCCUACCAAAGAGCUUCAGUUCUGACCUGCAGGAACUAUAUCACAUGUCAUUCAGUUUCUAUGACUAGUCAGUCCUUGGCCUGU